UCCUUUCUAGAUGUACGGUUGCACACUUCCAGCAACCGUCACGUCGGUUCCUGGAAUGGCAUCUCUAUGGACCAUCGUGUCCCUCCGAGGCAACUGUUCCCAUUGUAUAUAAGUGCUCAUUCAUCGUCAAUAAAGUGUGGUUCGAGUCAUUUGUUCCUUUGUCUCUCUCGAUACAAUUCUAUUCAUCACACAUUAUCAGCACGCUCCCGACUGAGCGAUUCCAGCGUGGAGAGCCCUUCCCGGGCGGCGGCGGCCGAGGCCACGGCUCUCAUCCGACCCUCUGCAGCGACUCCCUCCGCCAACGGCGGCGCCCAUAUCGACGGUCUUCAUCGGCACGGUCUUCUAUGACGACAACGCUCUCGGGCGUGGCGGCACCGGAGUGGCCAAGGACAAGGCCAUCCAACCUUCCAGCGCGGGCGGACCAUGAGCGGCCGUGGUGGCUGUAGCGGCGACGCCCUCGGGCGUGGAAAACGGCGGCCCUCACCCCGGCAGAAGAGCUUCCAUGCGGCAACCUCGCCUCGUGAAUGAAGAACAGGGCAUUGGCGUCCAUCUAUCUGGAAAGAUCGAGAGGAAAAUCAAGGGAUCAAGGAAUGAAUCGGAGUCAUACCUUGAUUUCAUUGCUACAAGGUGCUUCUUUCCGAUUUAUUAACGCAUAUACUAAUUGCUAUCUGAAAUUAGUACCUGUAGCCCUCGUCAUUGCAGCGCACGCAUCGGCUGCCCUCAGCCAUGCGACAACACAGAGGCAUCGAGCCCUUGACGCACCAGCGGCCGGCGUCGGCGAAGACGACUAGCGCAGGGCCGCGCCUCACGCCCUCGUCGCCACGCGGUCGUCCGCGCUGCUGGACUCGCGCCCUCCGCGCCGCCGUGGCAACAAGCGGCAACGACCUCCGGCCGGCAAGCUCAUCUCAAGUGGCCGCGACGGCGUUGGUGGUUUGCUACGAAUCAAUCGAUUGGGUUUUAACCACACGAACAGAUAGAGAGAUAGUGAAUCUUAUCCUUUUGUGACACUUCAAUUUAGUCUUCCAACUUUAUUGUAUGUCCGGAUAAGCCCUUGCAUUUCUUCCGUUGGGACCUCUGGCUUGAUGUGUCUUGCGGAUUAGUCCAUAGAUUAUUCUGUACGAUGCAAAUCAGCCUACGGCUUACUGUAAGUUGCAGUUUAGGCUUUCUCUCUACUGCAAAUUUUACUUUGAAAGAUCUCAUAUCUCUUUAUAUCACAUUUACAAUAUGUAAAUGAUGAUUUCAGAUAUACUUUGUGAAAAUGGGACAUGUUCAAUGUAUUUGCUCUCUAGCAAUUCCUAUAACAUGUUAUGCAUUGCCAUUGAGAUUACGUUUUCUCGCACAACAAUAUUGAUUUGCGAUUGAGGAAAAAAUCUCACAAAAUAAUUGAAGUUGAGAUCGAUUUUCUCUCGCAAAAUAUUAGUUCACUUCACUAAAUUAUCUUGCAAUUUGAUACAAGAUCUCAUUUAAUUUGAGAUCUAUACAAUUCAAGUUUUUCACUUGAGCAUCAAGUUUGCAACA
rnacentral:lncRNA from 1 species